UACGGAGGGUGCGAGCGUUAAUCGGAAUUACUGGGCGUAAAGCGUGCGUAGGCGGUUUGAUAAGUCGGGUGUGAAAGCCCCGGGCUUAACCUGGGAAUUGCAUUCGAUACUGUCUGACUCGAGUCUGGGAGAGGGAAGCGGAAUUUCGGGUGUAGCGGUGAAAUGCGUAGAUAUCCGGAGGAACAUCAGUGGCGAAGGCGGCUUCCUGGCCUAAGACUGACGCUGAGGUACGAAAGCGUGGGGAGCAAACAGG
rnacentral:rRNA from 1 species